GCUGGGCAUGGUGGUGCACACCUGUGGUCCCAGCUGCUUGGGAGGCUGAGACAGGAUGAUCGUUUGAGCCCAGGAGGUCAGGGCUGUAGUGAGCUAUGAUGGAGCCACUGCACUCCAGCCUUGGCAACAGAGCAAAACCCUGUCUCAA
ensembl:misc_RNA Metazoa_SRP Metazoan signal recognition particle RNA